rnacentral:rRNA from 1 species
UGCAGAAGAGGAGAGUGGAAUUCCACGUGUAGCGGUGAAAUGCGUAGAUAUGUGGAGGAACACCAGUGGCGAAGGCGACUCUCUGGGCUGUAACUGACGCUGAGGCGCGAAAAGCGUGGGGGAGCAAACAGGAUUAGAUACCCUGGUAGUCCACGCCCGUAAACGAUGAAUGCUAGGUGUUAGGGGUUUCGAUACCCUU